rnacentral:rRNA from 1 species
UACGUAGGGUGCGAGCGUUAAUCGGAAUUACUGGGCGUAAAGCGUGCGCAGGCGGCGCGUUAAGACAGGUGUGAAAGCCCCGAGCUUAACUUGGGAAUUGCGCUUGUGACUGGCGUGCUGGAGUGUGGCAGAGGGAGGUGGAAUUCCACGUGUAGCAGUGAAAUGCGUAGAGAUGUGGAGGAACACCGGUGGCGAAGGCGGUUCUCUGGGCCUACCUGACGCUGAGGAGCGAAAGCGUGGGGAGCGAACAGG